rnacentral:rRNA from 1 species
AUUGAACGCUGGCGGCAUGCCUAACACAUGCAAGUCGAACGGGGGUAGCAAUACCCUAGUGGCGGACGGGUGAGGAAUACGUAGGAAUUUGCCCUUAAGUGGGGGAUAACCCGGGGAAACCCGGACUAAUACCGCAUGAUCUCGUGAGAGCAAAGCAGGGGACCGCAAGGCCUUGCGCUUUUGGAGAAGCCUACGUCGGAUUAGCUAGUUGGGGGGGUAAUUGCCCACAAAGGCUACGAUCCGUAACUGGUCUGAGAGGAUGAUCAGUCACACCGGAACUGAGACACGGUCCGGACUCCUACGGGAGGCAGCAGUGGGGAAUAUUGGACAAUGGGCGAAAGCCUGAUCCAGCAAUGCCGCGUGUGUGAAGAAGGCCUUCGGGUUGUAAAGCACUUUAGGCUGGAAAGAAAAAGCUUUGGCUAAUAUCCAAAGCCUUGACGGUACCAGCAGAAUAAGCACCGGCUAACUCUGUGCCAGCCGCCGCAGUAAAAC